UUAGUACAGCUGAUGUACAUCAACUGAUAGUUCGCAGGGGAUUUAUUCGGUUUUAUACACAGUCAACAAGAAAGAAAACACUUGAACACUACAGGGUGAAACAAAGACGUCAUUUUUUUUUUUAAUCAGAGCAAGGAUAGCCCUUGAGAGCAUUAUAUAUUUUCAUAGUAGGAUAGAAAACCAGUUUAACAAAAGGCCACCUGAAUAAAGAUUGAUCUCAUACAGAUAGCCCAUUUUAAGGCAAGGCUUGACUUAAGUUUUUUUUAUCUAGCAAUAAAUCUUGAUCCAAUUUGUGCAUAUAAAUACAGCCCCACAGAUAAUAUCCCAUCAGUUUCAUCAGCUCACAUUGAUUGAAAUGUGGAAAACAUCGCUUCUCUUAGUCCUUUGUGCUCUGCACUUGUCUUAUAUUCAAGCCCAAACUAAUCGAGAGUACUGUGAGAAUGUGUACACCGAUUGUCAACGAUUUACUCCCAGAAUAGGGCGAUUCGAUGAGACUAUAGAUUCCUUCAACCGACAUUGUCGCCGGGAGCGCCGAGGAAGAUGGAAUAAUGUCUCUCGGUGUGAAAUGGAAAAGGCCACCUGCCUUCUUAUCUUACGCCGCUGUGAUGACUUGUCAUGCAAUAACAUUGCCGAUAUCUUGGAAUUGUAGUGAAGAGAAAAGCUUAUUGACACUGCAGUAUAUUGUCUGAAUUAUCAGCAGAAUGGCAAGUUGACACAAGGAGUUUGGGGUGCUUAACUAUAUAUAAACCGCUCGAAAUAAUGUUUCCAUUUUAGUUAAGCUCAAGAUGUUUUUAAUAAUAUUGCUGCUGGGUAAGCGGCUAUAUUUUUAGUUCUUAAUAAGUUGUAUUUUAACUCCACGUUAUUUAAAGUUGUUA